CAUUAUCCAAGAUGGCCGCCAGCGGGGGACUUAGUUUAACAUAGGACCCUAUUGGAAAUGCAUACAAAUCACUUCUUCUAGUGAACCACUGAAUGGAAUGAAACCAAACAUGGCAUGAAUGUUCCUUAUGUGGUGCUGACCAAGUGUUGUUACUUUGUAGCCGAUCCAUCAUCCAAGAUGGCCGCCAGCGUGGGACUUAGUUUAACAUAGGACCCUAUGGGAAAUGCAUACAAAUGACUUCUUUUAGAGAACCACUGAAUGGAAUGAAAUCAAACAUGGCAUGAAUGUUCCUAAUGUGGUGCUGACCAAGUGUUGUUACUUUGUAGCCGAUCCAUUAUCCAAGAUGGCCGCCAGCGGGGGACUUAGUUUAACAUAGGACCCUAUGGGAAAUACAUACAAAUGACUUCUUUUAGAGAACCACUGAAUGGAAUAAAACCAAACAUUGCAUGAAUGUUCCUUAUGAGGUGCUGACCAAGUGUUGUUACUUUGUAGCCGAUACAUCAUCCAAGAUGGCCGCCAGCAGGGGACUUAGUUUAACAUAGGACCCUAUGGGAAAUGCAUACAAAUGACUUCUUUUAGAGAACCACUGAAUGGAAUAAAACCAAACAUGGCAUGAAUGUUCCUUAUGAGGUGCUGACCAAGUGUUGUUACUUUGUAGCCGAUCCGUCAUCCAAGAUGGCCGCCAGUGGGG
rnacentral:lncRNA from 1 species